UUUUCCUUUUAUUGGUUAGUUUCAUUUUUUUAUUUAUUCUUUUUAUUUUUUUCUUCCUAUUAUUCAAAAGAAUUGAACGAGUGGUGUACAAAUUUGUCCCCAUCUUAUUUGCUUCAGUUUAUGCGGGUGCACGUGUUAGUCAAUGGGUUUCACCGACUUCUACUACACCUACAGGUGUCUUCCGCCGCCUUUCCUUUCCAAUGGGAUGCUUACACAAUUUCUUCCACCGUCUUCUCUCGGUAUACACCGUCUUCUCUCAGUCUACUAUCAUAACAAUCAACAGGAAAAGUUCAUUCUCCCCCAAAAGAAGCUUUCCAUAGCCCGCUUGAUGAUAUACCCGAUUCACCAACGGUCACACCGGUGAAGGGGAUAAUAACGAUGGAUGAGGAGGCGUAUCUUGGAAACGGUGCUCCGAUGGUGGAACAAGAGGAGGAGGCGAUAGCGAAAUUUGAAGUGGGUGACAGAUCGAUUGGGAGAGUGACGAACACCAAUCCAUCAGGGUACACCGGGGGUGAUAUUCUGUGGAAAGCCCAACCCCCCGCAAAAACGCUUUUCAUUUCUCCCAUGCCUCUUUCACUGUGGUCUUCGGGCUGUCAUCAUCGAAAAUCGAUCGCCUUGCAGCCUCUGUGCCACCGCUAUGAGCUCCAAUCACAAAAAUCCAGGUUUUGCUGUUACCUACUUUAAUCGAUUGGGGGUUUGUUCUGUUUACUUGAAUUUAUUUCAUUUAUCCUCACCUCCGAUCAGAAGUUGUCGCCUUCUGCUUCCACCUGUAUCCCUUAUUUCUUCCUCUUUAUAUUUACAAGUAUAUUAAUGUCUGUCUAUGUGUCUGUAUCAAUUUUAUGAAAUUGAUUUCAAAUUCAUGUUCUUCGCAUCAUGUGAACCUGAUAACCAUGAAAGGAGCAAGAUUCUUAGUAAUUGUCUAAGAAGUAUGAACUUAGCUGUUGUUGGAUUUUAUAACCUUAGAUUUGUUGAUUUAUUGCCAGAUUAAUAAGAAAAUGGGAUUACUGUUUUGUUUUCUCAACCAACUUCAUCUCAAUUUCUUUUGUUUUUUGGUUAUUAUAAUGAAUUUAUAUCAUGUUGCAGUUUGAACAGGAGGAGGAUUUUGAUACAAAUUUCAUUGAAGCUUAUUUUUCGGAUAAAAAGACGGAAGAAGAGCGAAGCCAAUUCCAUUCCUGUUCCACCCGAUAAGGGUGUAUUGGUUAAGCCAAUCGAUCUUCUCAAUCCCAGAGUAAUGAAAGUGCAUACCUGUCCUUCUUCUUCAACACUUCUUCCGAUUCAUUGCACGCACCUUGAAUGGGCUGCCGUGUUUUUUUUUUGAGAUUUGGGAAUCACUUCCAUAGUGGAAGGGUAACAUACCUUUGAUUUAUACAACGUUUGGAGUCUUAGAAAGCUGGUUUGCAUUUUCUGUCCACCAGGAGGAGAGACACGACAGUUAUUUCUAAAUAUGAAGGAGGAAGACUUUAUGGAAUGCCUAAUACGCAUAACAUUUGACUGAUUCAACUGAUGGAAUUAAGGAAAAGUAGCAAGUUUAUCGACUUUUGUGCGAUUGUAUGGUUUCAUGACUUACUUACAUAAUGCUGACCAAGAUGCAGUCUCUGUAUCAAACCUAAAAAACAUGUGUGAAGGAAUGCGGUUUCAUCAUAAAAGGAAUGACAGGUGCUGUUGUCUAAACAAAGACUCUACACUUAUUUGCCUCAUUUGGAGUAGGAAAUCAGUUUGAAAAAGGAAUGAUGCCAAAGCAGCAACCAUAAUGGAAGGUGCCCAUUGGUUUGUAAGUUAAGAGUCUUCUUGAUUUCAGAAUUGAAAUGGAUUGGUGGUCAUCACAACUUAGCAGACAUUACAGUGAGAG